rnacentral:tRNA from 1 species
GAGGAUAUAGCUCAGUGGUAGAGUGCAUGCCUAGCAUGCAUGAGGUCCUGGGUUCAAUUCCCAGUACCUAUA